rnacentral:rRNA from 1 species
GUGAGGAAUAUUGCGCAAUGGAGGCAACUCUGACGCAGCCAUGCCGCGUGCAGGAAGAAGGCGCUACGCGUUGUAAACUGCUUUUAACCGGGAAGAAACCCCAGGACGUGUCCUGGGUUGACGGUACCGGAGGAAUAAGCACCGGCUAACUUCGUGCCAGCAGCCGCGGUAAUACGAAGGGUGCAAGCGUUAUCCGGAUUCAUUGGGUUUAACGGGUGCGUAGGCGGAGCGUUAAGUCAGUGGUGAAAUCCUGCAGCUUAACUGUAGACUUGCCAUUGGUACGGGCGCUCUUGAGUGCGCUUGAAGUGGGCGGAAUGUGCCGUGUAGCGGUGAAAUGCUUAGAUAUGGCACAGAACACCAAUUGCGAAGGCAGCUCACUAAGGCGAUACUGACACUGAGGCACGAAAGCGUGGGGAUCGAACAGGAUUAGAAACCCGAGUAGUCC